AUGCAGGCCCUUUUCAGGGCCACCAAAUUUUUAAGUUUCAAAUUAU
rfam:Acyrthosiphon pisum strain LSR1 Contig5141, whole genome shotgun sequence.